ACCUUCUUAGUACAAGAGUAUGUCUGGCUUCCAACCAGAAGGUCUAAGUAUAGCUUAGAGUAGGUA
rnacentral:tRNA from 1 species